UACGUAGGGUGCAAGCGUUGUCCGGAAUUAUUGGGCGUAAAGAGCUCGUAGGCGGUUUGUCGCGUCUGCUGUGAAAAUCCAGGGCUUAACCCUGGACCUGCAGUGGGUACGGGCAGACUGGAGUGCGGUAGGGGAGAUCGGAAUUCCUGGUGUAGCGGUGAAAUGCGCAGAUAUCAGGAGGAACACCGGUGGCGAAGGCGGAUCUCUGGGCCGUAACUGACGCUGAGGAGCGAAAGCCAGGGGAGCAAACGGG
rnacentral:rRNA from 1 species